UACUUACUCAAUCAGAUUGGCUAAUAGUAAGAAACAGUGUUUUAUGGGUCAUCGGUGUUACCUUCCUCUUAAUCACAAAUGGAGGAAUGAUAGGGCGUCAUUUGAUGGUACAAAAGAGAAAAGGCUUCCACCAAAAAUGGGUUCUGGUGUUGAGAUACUUAAUCAUGUACAGGAUCUUGAAGGGUUUCAGUUAACAAAGGAUCCAAAGAAAAGGAUCAAGAUAUCACAUGAUGGCCGAAAGGAUAAUUGGAAUAAGAAGAGUAUCUUUUUUGAACUUCCAUAUUGGAAAUCUCUCUUGUUGCGGCAUAAUUUGGAUGUUAUGCAUAUCGAGAAAAAUAUAUGUGAUAAUAUUUUGGGGACGAUCAUGAAUGCCAAAGGAAAGACCAAGGACACCAUUAAUACUCGGCUAGAUUUGCAAGAAAUGAACAUUAGGUCGGAAUUGCACCCUAUCAAAAAAGGAGAAAAAUAUGAAAUUCCAACAGCUUGUUACACAUUAUCUCCUCAAGAAAAGCACAACUUAUGUCUAUUUUUAAAGAAUUUAAAGGUCCCAGAUGGAUUUUCAUCUAAUAUUUCUCAGUGUGUUAACUUGAAAGAUCACAAGAUUUCUGGCUUAAAGAGUCAUGAUUGCCAUGUUCUUUUACAACAUUUACUCCAUCUUGCGCUACGUGGUAUGUUGUCCAAAACAGUUUGUGAACCCCUUGUUGAGUUGUGCUUAUUUUUUAAUGUGCUUGGAGCAAAGGUAUUAAGAACUGAUGACUUGGAACAGAUUGAAGCUCAAAUUCCUAUAACUCUUUGCAAGUUAGAAAAGGUCUUCCCUCCUUCAUUUUUUGAUGUCAUGGUGCACUUGCCUGUUCACUUAGCUAAUGAAGCUAAGCUUGCUGGACCGGUUCAGUAUCGGUGGAUGUAUCCUAUAGAGCGAUGGUUAUAUUUUUUGAAAUCUCUCAUUGGUAAUAGGGCGUGUCCAGAAGGUUCUAUUGCAGAAGGUUACCUUGCAAAUGAAUGUAUGACCGUAUGUUCGAGGUAUCUGCAUAGAAUUGACACAAAGUUUAAUCGGCCAGAACGAAAUUAUGAUGGUGGUUUACCAAAGUCCGAUGGAGGUCUAUCUCUAUUUUGUAAAUCUGGAAAAACUUUAGGAGCUCCAAAACAGCGUGAUAUUGAAGCAGAUGAAUUGGAGCAAGCACAUAUAUACAUACUGAAGAAUUGUGAUGAAGUUCUACCAUUUCUAGAAGAGUUUGCACAAAUUCAUGUAGAUGCUACUCAACACUUGUCCGAUGCAGAAUGGAAUAGACAGUUUAUUGAAUGGUUUAAAGAUAGGGUUGCAUAAUUGCAUAAAGGAGAUAAUAGUCGGAUCAUGGAAGAUCUCCUCGCACUUUCACGUGGUCCUACCCCAUAUGUGUUACGUUAUAAUGGCUACAUUGUUAAUGGAUAUAGAUUUCAUGUAGAAGAUUAUGAUAAACAUUUAAGGACUCAAAAUUAUGGUGUGGUUGUUGUCGGUGAGACUGAUGAACAUAGGGAGAAUAUUGAUUACUAUGGAGUUUUAACCGAUGUUCUUGAAUUGCAAUUCACGGGAAGGAGAGUGAUUUUGUUUGAAUGUAAUUGGUUUGAUGCAUGUGAUAACACGAAAGGAAUUAAAACAGAUGAAUAUGGCAUCGUAAGUGUUAAUUGGGGGCGAUUAUUAAAAACAAAUGAGCCUUUUAUAUUAGCGGACCAAGGAUCUCAAGUAUUUUAUGCUAGUGAUAAUUCCAAUAAGGGUUGGCGUGUAGCGAGAAAGACGCAACCUCGUGAUUUUUCUGAGGUUGUGCAAAAAUUGGAUGAUGAUGUUGUAGAUUUAGAAAAUCCUACACAAAAUAAGCGAAAAAGAACGACUGAGGUUUGAUAUUAAACUAUCAAAGAAUGAAAAUGAGGUGGAAUCCACUGUGAAAGCUACUGAAUAUGCGUUUGUUACACCAGGUUCUAUAGGCAAGGGACGAGGGAGAGGGCUUAAAUUUAUGUAAUAUGCUUUUUUUCUUCUUAGCACGUGAAGUGUGGCUUUAGUGCUCCUGGAAACUUAGUACGUAUUAAAUAAGUCCAUUGACAAAUCCACAACUGAGACGAUAAUAUUAUUUUGGACUAAGAGCUCACACUUGUGUGUAAACCCAAAAUCUGGAUGGAAUUCCAUAUUCUUACUAGUGUAUAUAGGAACUUAGCACGUGAGGAUUGUAGCUUAGAGCUAUGAUAUUAGUUCAUUCCCAGAUCUGUGACCUGGGUUAUGGCAAUUGAGUUUUUCUAUUCUCAGUUGAUGUGAAAUGUGAUAAGAUCAGAUUGUCAAUAUUAACGAAGCAACUUGGAAAUGGUUUUAUAUAUAGAAGAGAUUGUCAUGUUGGCUGUAAAUACGAGCCUGCUCUACUAUUAUUGGAGCUACUUAGUAUAAAUUGUGAAAUUUAAUUUUGUCUUAAAAGGUAACAUAGGCCAACAGAUAAAUGUUCUUACUCAGUUUACAACCUUGUAGAAAUGUUCUUGUCAUAAGCAGAGAUGACAACUUCUCUCACAGGUUUUUUCUCUUAUUCAGUAUUGUCACCUUGCUGAAUUGCAAAAAUUUAAAGAUACAUUUUAAACAGAUGUUUAACACCUUAUUUGUUUCAUAUCUUUGGCCCUCUAUAUACAGUAAUUGGAUUUUCCGUUUGCUCCAAACGAGCACUUUUAACUUGUGUAUUGGAUGUCAACCGAAGUUUGAUUUAUUGCAGGACAUAUUUGAGGGUGAUGACAUGGAUAUUCUUUGGGAUCAUAUUUUUGGAUGGAUGAAAGAGUUAUGGAACGAAUGGAGAGGAUAAUUGCGUUCAAAGUUUAAAGGAUCGCUUGUCUAACUUUGAAAAAUGA